ANUUAACUUAACCUAUGGAUGGGCAUAACCUCGGGAAACUGAGAAUAAUACCCAAUAGACCACAGUGCCUGGAAUGGCCUGUGGUUGAAAUGAUUUAUCGCUGUAGGAUAGGACUGCGGCCUAUCAGCUUGUUGGUGAGGUAAUGGCCCACCAAGGCUAUAACAGGUACGGGCUCUGAGAGGAGGGGCCCGGAGAUGGGUACUGAGACACGGACCCAGGCCCUAUGGGGCGCAGCAGGCGAGAAACCUUUGCAAUGUGCGAAAGCACGACAAGGUUAAUCCGAGUGUCUCCUGCUAAAGGAGUCUUUUGUCAGUUGUAGAAUCACUGGUGACUAAGGGGUGGGCAAGUUCUGGUGUCAGCCGACGCGGUAAAACCAGCACCUCGAGUGGUCAGGAGGUUUAUUGGGCCUAAAGCAUCCGUAGCCGGUUGCAUAAGUCUUCGGUUCAAUUCUAUGCGCUCAAC
rnacentral:rRNA from 1 species